rnacentral:rRNA from 1 species
AGUGGCGAACGGGUGAGUAAUACAUCGGAACGUACCUUAUCGUGGGGGAUAACGCAGCGAAAGCUGUGCUAAUACCGCAUACGCCCUGAGGGGGAAAGCGGGGGAUCGAAAGACCUCGCGCGAUUAGAGCGGCCGAUGCCUGAUUAGCUUGUUGGUGGGGUAAAAGCCUACCAAGGCGACGAUCAGUAGCUGGUCUGAGAGGACGAUCAGCCACACUGGGACUGAGACACGGCCCAGACUCCUACGGGAGGCAGCAGUGGGGAAUUUUGGACAAUGGGGGAAACCCUGAUCCAGCAAUGCCGCGUGAGUGAAGAAGGCCUUCGGGUUGUAAAGCUCUUUUGUCAGGGAAGAAACACCGGCUCUAACACAGUCCGGGAAUGACGGUACCUGAAGAAUAAGCACCGGCUAACUACGUGCCAGCAGCCGCGGUAAUACGUAGGGUGCGAGCGUUAAUCGGAAUUACUGGGCGUAAAGCGUGCGCAGGCGGUUAUACAAGACAGGCGUGAAAUCCCCGGGCUUAACCUGGGAAUGGCGCCUGUGACUGUAUAGCUAGAGUGUGUCAGAGGGGGGUAGAAUUCCACGUGUAGCAGUGAAAUGCGUAGAUAUGUGGAGGAAUACCAAUGGCGAAGGCAGCCCCCUGGGAUAACACUGACGCUCAUGCACGAAAGCGUGGGGAGCAAACAGGAUUGGAUACCCUGGU